UCCCUGGUGGCCUAGUGGUUAAGGACUUGGCAAUGCCACUGCUGUGGCUCAGGUUCAAUGCCUGGCCUGGGAA
rnacentral:tRNA from 1 species